CCAAUAGCGUAUAUUAAAGUUGUUGCAGUUAAAAAGCUCGUAGUUGAAUUUCGGGAUCAAGGGAUCGGUCAUGCCUUGGUAUGUACUGGUCUUAUUGGUUCUCACCUUCUAAAGAACCAUGAUGUCAUUCAUUUGAUGUUAUGGGGAAUUAGGACUGUUACCUUGAAAAAAUUAGAGUGUUUAAAGCAAGCUUACGCUUGAAUACAUUAGCAUGGAAUAAUGAAAUAGGACAUCAGAUUCUAUUUUGUUGGUUUCUAGGAUCGAUGUAAUGAUUAAUAGGGAUAGUUGGGGGCAUUAGUAUUCAAUUGUCAGAGGUGAAAUUCUUGGAUUUAUUGAAGACUAACUACUGCGAAAGCAUUUGCCAAGGAUGUUUUCAUUAAUCAAGAACGAAAGUUAGGGGAUCGAAGACGAUCAGAUACCGUCGUAGUCUUAACCAUAAACUAUGCCGACUAGGGAUCGGAUGAUGUUAAUUUUUUAACGACUCAUUCGGCACCUUACG
rnacentral:rRNA from 1 species